UACGUAGGGUCCGAGCGUUGUCCGGAAUUACUGGGCGUAAAGAGCUCGUAGGUGGUUUGUCGCGUUGUUCGUGAAAACUCACAGCUCAACUGUGGGCGUGCGGGCGAUACGGGCAGACUAGAGUACUGCAGGGGAGUCUGGAAUUCCUGGUGUAGCGGUGAAAUGCGCAGAUAUCAGGAGGAACACCGGUGGCGAAGGCGGGACUCUGGGCCGAUACUGACGCUGAGGUGCGAAAGCGUGGGGAGCAAACAGG
rnacentral:rRNA from 1 species